UCUUUAAACCUAAAGAAUUUGGCGGUGUUUUAGUCUAUUCAGAGGAAUUUGUCCCAUGAUCGAUAGUCCUCGUUUUAUCUUGCUUGAUUUUGUUUUCAGUAUGUAUAUCGCCGUUAUAAGUUUAUUUUUUAAGGAUUUUAAUUUACUUAAAAUUUUAUUUUGUGAUAUUUCAGGUCAAGGUGCAGUUAAUGAUUAAGUGGAGAUGAAUUACAAUAUUAUUUAAGUAAAUGGAUUUUAUUUUUGAAUUUUUAAAUGAAGGUGGAUUUGAUAGUAAUUUUAAUUAUAGAAUUAAUUUGAUUUUAGCUCUAAAAUAAGUACACAUCGCCC
rnacentral:rRNA from 1 species